rnacentral:rRNA from 1 species
GGCAAAGCUCCACUUUGAAGCGUUUCGACGCGUUGUAUGCGGUUCAGUCUUUGAGUGACGGAUGACUAAGUCCCCUGGACGGGGUGCCAUAGAGGGUGAGAGCCCCGUGAGUUGUCUUUUUAGCUCUUUAAGUCUUUACCAAAGAGUCGAGUUGUUUGGAUGCAGCUCUAAGUGGGUGGUAAAUUCCAUCUAAGGCUAAUACCGGCGAGAGACCGAUAGCGAACAAGUACAGUGAUGGAAAG